GCGCAGCCAUGUUUCAUGUGUCUUACACAGACACUGGAAGGACGUCCGCACACGUGCCUGCUCAACCACUGCAACGCGAGAGCACAGACCGAGCGCGAGACUUCUUUCAGUACGCGUUGUGCACCGUCUCGUGUGUGUCGAUGCUGUGAACGGGUCUGUAGGUUUUGCGGUACACACUAUAAACAAUUAGAAACAGUAGCUCCACUUUGACCUCCUCCACACACUUUUCUCUGUUGCCAUGGAGAAUGAAAACUGAGUGAUGACAUCUCUACGUCACCCUUUAAAACCCCCCGUGGUGUGGUUCUGAGAGCCCAAAGAAAGUGAGCAAACCUGAGACUGACUGUGUAUCGGUGUACCACCCGCCUCCAUCUGUCUAACCUCCGGCCCCGCCUCUCUCCAUCCCCACGAGAGGGAGCAGCGGAUUAAGAAAAGGGGAGGAAUGGAGGAAGGAGCAAGGGAGCGAAAGAGAGAAGUGUGUCUGUGUCCCAAAGGAUUGGUCUCUGUCUGUCUAAAUCAGGAAGUGAGAAUGUGACGGCAGGAGAGGCAAAGCAGAGACAUCCAUUCAGUGUGUGUGUUUGUGUGUGUGUGUGUGUGUUGAGUGUUUGUGUGUUCGUAUGGACCUUGUUGAGCUGAGGUGUCAUAUAUGUGAAGAUCACAGCUUCAAGCUAGUGGCAACCAGGGAUGACGCUCUAAAUCACUGAAAUGCCAGAGACAACUGUGCUGUGAUAUGUUCUGUGAAUGUGCGCAUGGAUGUGUGUGUGUGUGUGUGUGUGUGUGUGUGUGUGUGUGUGUGUCUUUUGGGACAUUUGAUGGAGAUUAAUACCACUUUUAGAGUCUGAAAGUGAAAAUGUUAUCUAGUAUGUCACCUUGGAAAAAAAGAGAGUGACAUUGUCUCAUCUGGACGCUGAUGUACACACACACACUCACUCUCACACACACACACACACACACACACACACACACACACACUGUACAUCACAACUUUUUUUGUCUGACAUACCCCCACAGCCCUGUCAGUUGAACUCAAGUACAUCCCUUUUAAACUGGAUUUUAUAUACAUUAACAUUUUUAUUUAAAGUAAUAUUGUUUUCAUACAAUUUAACUAAUGUUUGGUCAGUUUGGUCAAUUGCAUUUGAACUACUACUACUACCAUUUGGAGUGACAGAGCGGGACUUUUCAACCAUUUAUCCAUGAGUUUUAGUUUUAUUUCAACCUUUUCAUACAUUUAUCUGAUAUAUUUAAUGCCAACUAUUUCUAUUUAUGCUUUACUCUUAGCUAACUCAAUUAAUGUAGUCAUUUUCUUUCUUGUGUUUCAGUUUGAUUCAACUAUUUAACCAUCUAUACAUUACUUGUUGCUACUGUAUCUAUUUCAGUCAUUUAUCUAUUACUUUACUUUCGCCACAGGUGGCAUACAUAUGUUUAUUUCUAUGUUUUAAAAUUAGCUGAGCUACUCUAUACAACUUUUUCACGUAUACCCUGGUAACUGCAGUUCCCCCUGGGGUACCCCUGGUUGGGAACCACUGAUCUGGAUUAUGCAUCAUGCACAGUAUCCACGGAAUAUGUACCCACACAAACACACCUAAUGACAUUACACACUCUCUCUCUCUGGGGACAAAUAAUCAGAUGGACACAGGGACAUCUCUCUGUUCCCCCUCACACAUAAAGCUACGUGAAUGUAGGCCAACUUACUGUCGGCUUCACUUCCCUCUCAGCGCAGUCAAAACAACACACUAGCUGUUGUCUCCUCUUGUUUAUCAACCUCUAUCUCUUGUUACCUCUAUCUAUCUUUAACCCUCUCUUUCAUGAGUUGUGAGUCACAGAGAAUUGUCUAGUAGAUCAACAAAACAACUGUUACAGUCUCACACAGUGACGCUGAUAUAGUCACAUCAUUAUAUCCGUAUUAGCAGGGAAAACCCUUCACGCUCCAACACCUAUAUGCCUUCAUCGCAUGCUAUCUGCACUGUCUGAUGUGUCUUCUAAGUAAUUUACUGUGUGUGUGUGUGUGUGUGUGUGUGUGUGAGUACCCCUGCCUUAUUCUACUGUAGGCUGACGGAUGAAGCUCGACACAUAUUCAUGGCAUGUUUAGCAAAAUAUGUUUAUCAGAAUGUAUACCCAAACUACUAACUAGAGGUAGAGAGCCUGUCCACAUGAUAGGCUAUACUGUAAAUAAAGUUGCUACUUUCAUACAACAAAAUAGUGAUUUAAACUCCAAAGCCUUUCUAGCAACUCUCCGAGACAAUUUAAGCUUAAGCUAACUGCUAGUGUUUAACAGAUUCACCAUUAGUUUAGCACGUCAAUAUUGGUAACAUUAGCACUAACUCCUUUUUCGGCUGAUGGGAAUGUCGUUUGUUUUGGCCAUAAGCACAAAUUGACCUGAUGGUGAUAAUAUGAAAGGUUAAGGGAUCUCAAAAGUUAUUAAAAUUCAUCCUGAGAGAAAUAUGAAGGUAUAAACCACAUUUUAUGGCAACCCAUAAAGACGUGCCACUAACAGAUAGGAGUAUUGGACACAGUGUGAUCCAUAUGGAAUCCAUAUCCAAGUCAUUGUCUCUGAAUUUAGACUAUGUAUUGUUGAUACUGCAUUUGUGUUACAGAUCUGCUUUCUGUCAUCAUGCUGCCUCCCUAAUCCCCUAAGUUGAUUUAUUUAAAGAUAUUCUUUUUUUAAUAGUGGGAAGCAAUUGUAAGCAACAUGGUGAUCAUGAACCCAAACUUGAACCAGGUGAAAACAUGAAACAAUCUAUUACUCUAAUAAGCAAACCUGCAUGUUGCCUGACUUGUGUAAUAGAGCCUCAUUUGUAUCAUUGUUAUAUUUAUUAAUAUUAUUUUUUGUCAAAUGUCGCAUAAUAAUGUGAAACCUUUGAAUACUGAUAAUAAAUACAGGUGAAAUUAAUAUUAUCAGUUCACAGCAUCAGGAGGAAUAAUUGGUAAGAAAAGAGCAUACACACAAAUUUACACACUUGCAUGUUGCAUGUUUACCUUAUAGGCAAGGUAAGGCAACACUAUAGAGGAAGUAUUUCAAAUAUUGAGAAGGACCAGGGGAGCACUUGGCAUUUUGGGCAUGCACAUAAUCACACACUCUUACUGCGUUAGCGUUAGAUGGAAAAGGUUGUGUGUUAGUGUGUUUGACAGCUCUCCGACCCUGGUUGCGAUGUUGACAUUAGUUGACCAGGACACAUCACCUCUGCUUUAGGAAAAGGCCUACGGUGAGCCUGCCCUCAAGCACAGUGGGAUUCUAUGUAUGUUUGUGUAUGUCUGUGUGUGUCUGUGUGUGUGUGUGUGUGUGUAGUUUUAGUAUAGUCUUUGUUAAAGUAAAAGCACCACAGACAUCUACAAUUUUGCUCUGCUGUUGCCCGAACAGAUUCAUUUAUAGUUCUCCAUGCAUAUGUGUGUGUGUGUGUGUGUUUCUCUGUGUGUGUAAUAAAAGCAUAUGUUGGUAGAAUGGCUCACAUUCACAGUAUCUAAAAAAUAAUAGUGUUUCAUGUAGAUUUUCACAGUUUUCAAUAAAAAAUGUGAAGGCAAAACACAUCUUUCAAACCUU